rnacentral:rRNA from 1 species
GACGAACGCUGGCGGCGUGCUUAACACAUGCAAGUCGAACGGUAGGGCCCCUCGGGGUACACGAGUGGCGAACGGGUGAGUAACACGUGGGUGAUCUGCCCUGCACUUCGGGAUAAGCCUGGGAAACUGGGUCUAAUACCGGAUAGGACUCCGGACUGCAUGGUCUGGGGUGGAAAGCUUUUGCGGUGUGGGAUGGGCCCGCGGCCUAUCAGCUUGUUGGUGGGGUGAUGGCCUACCAAGGCGACGACGGGUAGCCGGCCUGAGAGGGUAACCGGCCACACUGGGACUGAGAUACGGCCCAGACUCCUACGGGAGGCAGCAGUGGGGAAUAUUGCACAAUGGGCGCAAGCCUGAUGCAGCGACGCCGCGUGAGGGAUGACGGCCUUCGGGUUGUAAACCUCUUUCAGCAUCGACGAAGCGAAAGUGACGGUAGGUGCAGAAGAAGGACCGGCCAACUACGUGCCAGCCGCCGCAGUAA